rnacentral:rRNA from 1 species
AGCGGCGAACGGGUGAGUAACACGUAGGUGAUCUGCCCAUCAGGCGGGGACAACGAUUGGAAACGGUCGCUAAUACCGGAUAGGACGAAAGUUUAAAGGUGCUUCUGGCACCGCUGAUGGAUGAGCCUGCGGCGCAUUAGCUAGUUGGUAGGGUAAAGGCCUACCAAGGCGACGAUGCGUAGCCGACCUGAGAGGGUGAACGGCCUCACUGGGACUGAGACACGGCCCAGACUCCUACGGGAGGCAGCAGUAGGGAAUCUUCGGCAAUGGGCGAAAGCCUGACCGAGCAACGCCGCGUGAAUGAUGAAGGCCUUCGGGUUGUAAAAUUCUGUUAUAAGGGAAGAACGACUUUAGUAGGAAAUGGCUAGAGUGUGACGGUACCUUAUGAGAAAGCCACGGCUAACUACGUGCCAGCAGCCGCGGUAAUACGUAGGUGGCGAGCGUUAUCCGGAAUUAUUGGGCGUAAAGAGCGCGCAGGUGGUUGAUUAAGUCUGAUGUGAAAGCCCACGGCUUAACCGUGGAGGGUCAUUGGAAACUGGUCGACUUGAGUGCAGAAGAGGGAAGUGGAAUUCCAUGUGUAGCGGUGAAAUGCGUAGAGAUAUGGAGGAACACCAGUGGCGAAGGCGGCUUCCUGGUCUGUAGCUGACACUGAGGCGCGAAAGCGUGGGGAGCAAACAGGAUUAGAUACCCUGGUAGUCCACGCCGUAAACGAUGAGCGCUAAGUGU